CGGUUAUCUGGAUUCUUAUUGGGUGGACUGGUUGUGGUUUCUCAUUUCCUGGCACAAGUAGUGGGUAGUGAGCCAAGCUGUCUAAAGUUUCAAGAACAUGGCAUUUUCAAAUAUGAUUUGUCCUUGCAAAGAACACAGUACAUAACUAUUUUUGGAAGAUGGCUACCGCUAGUUUACUGCACUUUGUUUACCAUAGUUUUGAAGGAGCAAUUUACAUAAUCAUAAUUAAAGGGACUCUCCAGUGCCAGGAAAACAAUCAGUUUUCCUGGCACUGCAGGUCCUCUCUCCCUCCCACCCCCCAUCCCAGGUUGCUGAAGGGGUUAAAACCCCUUCAGUGUCUUACCUUUAUCCAGCGCCGAUGUCCCUCGGCGCUGGUUCACGGUCCGCCCAC